rnacentral:rRNA from 1 species
UAGGGAAUCUUCCACAAUGGACGCAAGUCUGAUGGAGCAACGCCGCGUGAGUGAAGAAGGUUUCGGCUCGUAAAGCUCUGUUGUUAAAGAAGAACGUGGGUAAGAGUAACUGUUUACCCAGUGACGGUAUUUAACCAGAAAGCCACGGCUAACUACGUGCCAG